rnacentral:rRNA from 1 species
AUGAGAUUGAGAGUGAGGUUUUCAGUAGUCGGCGGUGGGGAGCUGCUCGUGGGGCCGCUGGCCGAUGAAGCAGAUGUCGUAGACGAGGGCGGCGAUGGCGGCGCCGGCGAAGGGGCCGAGCCAGUACACCCAGUGGUUCUCCCAGACGCCGGUGACGACAGCGGGGCCGAAGGAGACGGCGGGGUUCAUGGAGGCGCCGUCGAAGGCGCCGCCGGCGAGGAUGUUGGCGCCGACGAUGAAGCCGAUGGCGAUGGGCGCGAUGACCCCGAGGUCGCCGCGCUUGGGGUCGACCGCCGUGGCGUACACCGUGUAGACGAGCCCGAAGGUCAUGACGAUCUCGAAGACCACGGCGUUCCAGACGCCGACGCCGGCGGAGAGCGAGAAGGCGCCCACGGCCUCGCCGCCGGUGGCGAUCUUGAGGAGGAGGCAGGCCACGACGGAGCCGAGCAGCUGCGCCACCCAGUACACCACCGCCUUGAGCAGGCUGAUGUUGCCGCCCACGAAGGCGCCGAAUGUGACGGCCGGGUUCACGUGCCCGCCCGAGAUGUUGGCGCCCACGGACACGGCCACGAAGAGCGCGAACGUGUCCGGGUGGGACAGCUCCCCCGGGGCGCCGAUGGCGAUCCUGCUCACCGGCAUUUUCGACGGGCACUCUUUUUUUUUCUGGAUGGAUGGAUCGGCUCGUGUCCUGUGCAGCUAGCUAGUGUUGAAUUGUGUGGUGUGGUGUGGUGA